UACAGAGGGUGCGAGCGUUAAUCGGAAUUACUGGGCGUAAAGGGCGCGUAGGCGGCUAUUUAAGUUGGAUGUGAAAUCCCUGGGCUUAACCUAGGAACUGCAUACAAAACUGGGUAGCUAGAGUACAGUAGAGGGUAGUGGAAUUUCCGGUGUAGCGGUGAAAUGCGUAGAUAUCGGAAGGAACACCAGUGGCGAAGGCGGCUACCUGGACUGAUACUGACGCUGAGGCGCGAAAGCGUGGGGAGCAAACAGG
rnacentral:rRNA from 1 species